rnacentral:lncRNA from 1 species
GAGCCAUAGGAUGACCCACGUUGCGCAGCUCCACGAAUGGCUGUGUUUCUGCAAUCAAAACAAGGAACAGAACGGAGACAGGAGAGGGUGAUGCAUGAGCCAAGAUGAGCAACCAAGGGUAGGUGGACCUCUUACACCACAAUGAUCACACAAGACUUUGUAUAAAGCAGUGGUGGCUUUGCUUAUGUCAUUAUUGGUCUUCAAAAGGAGUUAAUUUUUUCUGGGAAUUUCAUAUGUCUA